UCAGGAUGUAGGUCUUGGCUCCUUCUCCAGCAGUGCUGCCAUGCUCCCUGCCUAAUGAGAUCGGACUUUCCUCUGAAACUGUAAGCAAGCCCCAAUUAGUCCCUUUUCACAGCAACAGAGCACUGACUAAGAAGGUCUCCAGGAGGAGGCGAACAGAAAAUGACUGUCGAGGCUGCCGCCUCAGCUCCAUGCUCUUCUAUCAAAGCUCAGGUCUCCAGCUAGUAGUCCUGUUGUAGGAUGCUCUAAAACCUUCAGGCAGUAAGGACUAGCUGGAGGAGGUGGAUGCCUUCACAACUCCUAUUCUUUCUGUCUGCCAUGAGAUGAAUAGAGCCUCAGCCAACUGUUCCCACUGCUACGAAGUUCUGCCUCAUGUGGCCCAGGCUCACUGGAGCCGAGGACUAUGCUUGAAGACUGGAACCCAUGAGCUAAUUAUAGGGACAUCAGGAAGUUUGUUGGUUGUGCUAGUGAUGACAUCUGGAGAUGUAAAGGCAACAUGCAAAUUCAUCUUGACAGCCAUUUAAAUAUGAUCAGGUACUCACCUUGAGGAGCCAAGCUUGCCUCUGAGGGGGUUGAAGUGUGCCUUUCACUGGGUAUCCAUGAAACUGCUAAGAAAGAAGAUACACAGAGUCAGUGUUUGUAAUUGUAUUUUUUUCAUUAUCAUUAAUUGAUUCUAACAACCGGGAAAGGUACAGUAACGAAUACUUAAAAUAAUCUUAUUCAUUAGCUUUGCAGUGGCCAUUUGAUUGCUCCCACACAGUGGGAGUUGAGGAGAUGCUUAUGGUUUUUACAUAACACCUCUAGUUGGGAAAGUUUCAAUGACUGUCACGGCUGAGGUUUAAAGUUGCCUCCUCUAAAUAAUGUUGACAAUAUGAGAGCAUUAGAAGUGAGUCUUUAGGAGAUCAAUACACUACAGGAGCUUCUCCCUGAUGAAUGGUCUUAAGACCCUUGUGAAAGAGGCUUCUUGGAGCAUCUACUGCAGUCUUUCAACCUUGUGCCAUGUGAGGACCUGGCAUGUGAGGACAUGUGUGAAGCAAGGAAGUCUUCAUCAAUUGCCUGCAUCUUGAUCUUGAUCUUCCAGUCUCUAGAGCUAUGAGAAAAGACAUGCAUUUUCUUUAUAAAAUCUGUGGUCUUAUUCUCCCAUAAGUAUGAAAGUGGAUUGACUUGGUUCCUUAAAAAUAGGAUGAAAGAAUGGAAGACAGCUCCUCUGGCAUGGAGAGUAGGCUCUCAUGUUCAUCCCUAAGAGAAGCAUGGGAAGAGAAUGAAACUCUCAUGUGUUAUGGUGGCUUUUGUCAAGUAAACAUAUCAGGAGGACUUUAAAGGCCUUGUUGGAACAUUCGAGAAGGAAGAAAGGCAUUCGUGUUUGUGGGUCCCUGGCAUUUCCAGUCAACUGUGGACACUGAACUGCAUCAAAAGUGAAUUAACAGACUUCUAUGGCCACAGACCUUGUUAGCCCUGGCACAGUAUAUGUAUGAAACCUGGAGGCAAGCCAUUGCCUUGAGUGGAUGGCAACAAAUAUGAGUUUUGAAAUAGAUCUGUCAACUCAGUUUUGUUUAUUGUUCUAUCUCUGGAAAGAAAGACCCAUUUCUUGGAAUACGCCUGACUUUGAAAACAAGCAUCAAGGAAGAUAACCACAGAGGUGUGUGGUUGCCAUCAAUGGAAACAUUCUAUACCUAUCCAUUUAAAAUACAACCACUGUAAUGCUUCCAGGUAAGGGCUUUAGAGUGUGCCAAGAGCUAAGCAGAUGAAUGAAUGAAACAAAAACAUUUAGCCCCUGCUUUCUUGCUAUCUCCUCUUCAUGUCAACAGCAGCAGCAACUGAUGAAAGGCACAAGCAGAAGCUGCAUCUACCAUCACUAAAACUCUUCAACCUGCCCUCUGACCUUGGAUGACUCUUUUGUUCUGGACAGAAUGCCGAGAUCUACAGAUGAUGGACUGAUCACUUGCUUUAAGCUCAUUUGUGUGUGUGUGUGUGUGUGUGUGUGUGUGUGUGUGUGUGUUUAAGGUAUUGUUAGACAGUGAUUCCAUUGACAAAGAACAAUGACUAAUUAAAAAUCAGUUAUGGAAAUUUGGGCAAAUUAAAGAAGGCAGCAGAUUUUUUUUUGGUAAACUUGCUUCUUUUUUUCCCCUGAAUAUAAUGUUGCCUUUAAUUUCUUACUUUCAUAGCCUGGCAUCUUUUAGUACCCUUUCAGAGUACGUUUGCAAGAAAGGAUGGGAUACAUUAAUUUAUGCUAAGGUAAAAAUUGUUGAACAGUUGCUAUCUAUUUAGGAGAAAUCUGUGUUUAAAGCAAAAAUAUUUUUCACUGCAUGUUUAUUAUCAGUGAACCAAUGAAGAAAAUUCUAUAGUAGUUAGUAACCACUGAACACUAAUAGGCUUUGUACUAAAUGUGGGAUAGAAGUUUUUCUCAUUGGUACUGAUUUUUUUCUUAAAUGAAAAAUCAAGCUUGAUACAAAACUCAAGGAGCAUCACCACAAUCCACAUAAGUUAUAUAAAUAGCAAUACUUAAAAUUAUGCAAAUUGAUGAUUCAAUAACAUUUCUUUUUAUACAACUGUAACUGUCUUACAAUAAGCCAUGUUAUAUAAUAAUAUUAAACUAUAAAACUCACUUUGGAAAAGGA